rnacentral:rRNA from 1 species
UAGGGAAUAUUGCUCAAUGGGGGAAACCCUGAAGCAGCAACGCCGCGUGGAGGAUGAAGGUUUUUAGGAUUGUAAACUCCUUUUGUUAGAGAAGAUUAUGACGGUAUCUAACGAAUAAGCACCGGCUAACUCCGUGCC